GGGGUUGUGGCUUAGCAGUAGAGCGCUUGCCUAGCAUGCAUGAGGCACUGGGUUCGAUCCUCAGCACCA
rfam:Ictidomys tridecemlineatus contig038495, whole genome shotgun sequence.